GUGCUUCGGCAGCACACACACUAAAAUUGGAACGAUACAGAAAAUAUUAGCACGGCACCUGUGCAAGUAUGACAUGCAAAUUCACGAAGUGUUCCAUACUUAA
ensembl:snRNA U6 U6 spliceosomal RNA